UGCAGUGCAUGCGGAAAUGUGGCAAACACGACUGGAAUUCUUCCCUGCGCGCAUUUUAUGUGCAAGGCUUGCUACCAGCAGUGCGCUGUUCCGGGGGGCACAUGUGUCCACUGGACGAUGAGCGAUGUACAGAAGAUGACGUCGACUGGAAGACUUUCCUGCUGAGAAUGUGAUGAAGAGACAGAUGCCGAUGCUGCAACCUACUUAGCUCUCCUGCCUCCAAACGUCCAGUCACCCAAAGGAGAGUUUGUCUGGCAUGAGUGCACGAUUACCCCGUGGGACAAGUAAAAGAAAAAAAACCUUAAUGCACUGAACUACCUCUGAUGUUGUAUAGUCAUAUAGCCCGGCACUUUCUGGCCUCUCAAGAACAAAGCCAGUAAAAGCGUGCACACGGAUUACUGUUAGUACCGAGAGAAAAA